AAGCUGCUCGACAAAACUGGGCUGACAGGGUGCUAUCCAACUCGCACUCCUAUGGAGCCACGGUGCCCGUUGAGAAAGGAAAGCAAGGAAGCCGCGGUGGAUGCAACGCUCUACCGCAGCGUGAUCGGCAGCCUGAGGUACCUCGUACACACUCGCCCGGACAUUUCGUUCGCCGUGGGUUUCCUGAGCAGGUUCAUGGAGGUGCCAGCAGCAGACCACUAUGCAGCAGUGAAGCACCUCCUUCGAUACAUAGCGGGCACGCUGAGCUACGGCUGCGUGUACCGCUACGGCGACAGCGAGUCCCUGACAGGCUUCAGCGACUCCGAUCACGCCGGCGACGUGGACACCAGGAAGAGCACUUCUGGCGUGCUGUUCUUUCUUGGUGAAAGCCCCGUCAGCUGGCAAUCUCAGAAGCAAAAGGUCGUCGCAAUCUCAUCUUGCAAGGCG
rnacentral:rRNA from 1 species